UUUCCGUAGGUGAACCUGCGGAAGGAUCAUUAUUGAAUGAAACACUUCUGGCUUUAUGCUGUUGUGCUGGCCCUUUGGGCAAUGUGCACACGGUUGUGGUCACUUGUUUCUUCUGUUCCACCUGUGCUCUGCCUGUAAACACGCUGUGUCUAUGAUAUUUGUUAACACACAACAAUGUUAGGUGGCAUGUUAUAUAUAAUAAUAAAAUAUACAACUUUCAACAACGGAUCUCUUGGCUCUC
rnacentral:misc_RNA from 1 species